rnacentral:rRNA from 1 species
UUGAACGCUGGCGGUAUGCUUAACACAUGCAAGUCGAACGGAAACGAUACUAGCUUGCUAGUAGGCGUCGAGUGGCGGACGGGUGAGUAACGCGUAGGAAUCUGCCUGAUAGUGGGGGAUAGCCCGAAGAAAUUCGGAUUAAUACCGCAUAAUCUAUUCGUAGUAAAGUGGGGGACUUUCGAGCCUCACGCUAUCAGAUGAGCCUGCGUAAGAUUAGCUUGUUGGUAGGGUAAAAGCCUACCAAGGCGACGAUCUUUAGCUGGUCUGAGAGGAUGAUCAGCCACAUCGGGACUGAGACACGGCCCGAACUCCUACGGGAGGCAGCAGUGGGGAAUAUUGGACAAUGGGGGCAACCCUGAUCCAGCAAUACCGCGUGUGUGAAGAAGGCCUGAGGGUUGUAAAGCACUUUCAAUUGUGAAGAAAAGUUAGCGGUUAAUAACCGUUAGCCUUGACGUUAACUUUAGAAGAAGCACCGGCUAACUCCGUGCCAGCAGCCGCGGUAAUACGGAGGGUGCAAGCGUUAAUCGGAAUUACUGGGCGUAAAGCGUGCGUAGGCGGUUUAUUAAGUCAGAUGUGAAAGCCCCGGGCUUAACCUGGGAACUGCAUUUGAAACUGGUCAACUAGAGUAUGGUAGAGGAAAGUGGAAUUUCUGGUGUAGCGGUGAAAUGCGUAGAUAUCAGAAGGAACAUCAAUGGCGAAGGCAGCUUUCUGGACCAAUACUGACGCUGAGGUACGAAAGCGUGGGUAGCAAACAGGAUUAGAUACCCUGGUAGUCCACGCCGUAAACGAUGAUAACUAGCCGUUGGGGGGAUUUACCCUUUAGUGGCGAAGCUAACGCGUUAAGUUAUCCGCCUGGGGAGUACGGCCGCAAGGUUAAAACUCAAAGGAAUUGACGGGGACCCGCACAAGCGGUGGAGCAUGUGGUUUAAUUCGAUGCAACGCGAAGAACCUUACCUGGUCUUGACAUCCUGCGAACUUUCUAGAAAUAGAUUGGUGCCUUCGGGAACGCAGUGACAGGUGCUGCAUGGCUGUCGUCAGCUCGUGUCGUGAGAUGUUGGGUUAAGUCCCGUAACGAGCGCAACCCCUAUCCUUAUUUGCCAGCACAUCAUGGUGGGAACUAUAAGGAGACUGCCGGUGAUAAACCGGAGGAAGGCGGGGACGACGUCAAGUCAUCAUGGCCCUUACGACCAGGGCUACACACGUGCUACAAUGGGAAGGACAAAGAGCCGCGAAGCCGCGAGGUGUAGCUAAUCUCAUAAACCUUUUCGUAGUCCGGAUUGGAGUCUGCAACUCGACUCCAUGAAGUCGGAAUCGCUAGUAAUCGUAGAUCAGAAUGCUACGGUGAAUACGUUCCCGGGUCUUGUACACACCGCCCGU